GACAGAGGGUGCAAACGUUGUUCGGAAUUACUGGGCGUAAAGCGCGUGUAGGCUGCUUCGCAAGUCGGAUGUGAAAGCCCUGGGCUCAACCUGGGAAUUGCAUUGGAUACUGGCAGGCUAGAGUGCGGUAGAGGAUGGCGGAAUUCCCGGUGUAGCAGUGAAAUGCGUAGAGAUCGGGAGGAACAUCUGUGGCGAAGGCGGCCAUCUGGACCAGCACUGACACUGAGGCACGAAAGCGUGGGGAGCAAACGGG
rnacentral:rRNA from 1 species